GUGCUCGCUUUGACAGCACAUUUGCUAAAAUUGGAAUGAUACAGAGAUUAGCGUGGCCCCUGCACAAGGAUGACACAUAAUUCGUAAAGCAUUCCAUACCUAA
ensembl:snRNA U6 U6 spliceosomal RNA